UACGUAGGUGGCGAGCGUUAUCCGGAAUCAUUGGGCGUAAAGAGGGAGCAGGCGGCCGCAAGGGUCUGUGGUGAAAGACCGAAGCUAAACUUCGGUAAGCCAUGGAAACCGGGCGGCUAGAGUGCGGAAGAGGAUCGUGGAAUUCCAUGUGUAGUGGUGAAAUGCGUAGAUAUAUGGAGGAACACCAGUGGCGAAGGCGACGGUCUGGGCCGCAACUGACGCUCAUUCCCGAAAGCGUGGGGAGCAAAUAGG
rnacentral:rRNA from 1 species